AGUGAACGCUGGCGGUAGGCCUAACACAUGCAAGUCGAACGGCAGCACAGGAGAGCUUGCUCUCUGGGUGGCGAGUGGCGGACGGGUGAGGAAUACAUCGGAAUCUACUCUGUCGUGGGGGAUAACGUAGGGAAACUUACGCUAAUACCGCAUACGACCUACGGGUGAAAGCAGGGGACCUUCGGGCCUUGCGCGAUUGAAUGAGCCGAUGUCGGAUUAGCUAGUUGGCGGGGUAAAGGCCCACCAAGGCGACGAUCCGUAGCUGGUCUGAGAGGAUGAUCAGCCACACUGGAACUGGGACACGGUCCAGACUCCUACGGGAGGCAGCAGUGGGGAAUAUUGGACAAUGGGCGCAAGCCUGAUCCAGCCAUACCGCGUGGGUGAAAAAGGCCUUCGGGUUGUAAAGCCCUUUUGUUGGGAAAGAAAUCCAGCUGGCUAAUACCCGGUUGGGAUGACGGUACCCAAAGAAUAAGCACCGGCUAACUUCGUGCCAGCAGCCGCAGUAA
rnacentral:rRNA from 1 species